AUUGAACGCUGGCGGCAGGCCUAACACAUGCAAGUCGAACGGUAACAGGAAGAAGCUUGCUUCUUUGCUGACGAGUGGCGGACGGGUGAGUAAUGUCUGGGAAACUGCCUGAUGGAGGGGGAUAACUACUGGAAACGGUAGCUAAUACCGCAUAAUGUCGCAAGACCAAAGAGGGGGACCUUCGGGCCCCUUGCCAUCGGAUGUGCCCAGAUGGGAUUAGCUAGUUGGUGGGGUAACGGCUCACCUAGGCGACGAUCCCUAGCUGGUCUGAGAGGAUGACCAGCCACACUGGAACUGAGACACGGUCCAGACUCCUACGGGAGGCAGCAGUGGGGAAUAUUGCACAAUGGGCGCAAGCCUGAUGCAGCUAUGCCGCGUGUAUGAAGAAGGCCUUCGGGUUGUAAAGUACUUUUAUCGGGGAGGAAGGGAGUAAAGUUAAUACCUUUGCUCAUUGACGUUACCCGCAGAAGAAGCACCGGCUAACUCCGUG
rnacentral:rRNA from 1 species